ACGGGUGAGUAACACGUGAGUAAUCUGCCCUUCACUCUGGGAUAACUGCCUGAAAGGGUGGCUAAUACCGGAUAUUCAUAUGUCCCUGCAUGGGGGUGUGUGGAAAGAUUUUUUGGUGGGGGAUGUGCUCGCGGCCUAUCAGCUUGUUGGUGGGGUAAUGGCCUACCAAGGCUUCGACGGGUAGCCGGCCUGAGAGGGUGACCGGCCACACUGGGACUGAGACACGGCCCAGACUCCUACGGGAGGCAGCAGUGGGGAAUAUUGGACAAUGGGCGGAAGCCUGAUCCAGCAACGCCGCGUGAGGGAUGACGGCCUUCGGGUUGUAAACCUCUUUCAGCACAGACGAAGUCGCAGCUUUUGUUGUGGUGACGGUAUGUGCAGAAGAAGCACCGGCCAACUACGUGCCAGCAGCCGCGGUAAUACGUAGGGUGCGAGCGUUGUCCGGAAUUAUUGGGCGUAAAGGGCUCGUAGGCGGUUUGUCGCGUCGGGAGUGAAAACCUCGGGCUUAACUCGGGGCUUGCUUUCGAUACGGGCAGACUGGAGGUAUGCAGGGGAGAACGGAAUUCCUGGUGUAGCGGUGAAAUG
rnacentral:rRNA from 1 species